rnacentral:lncRNA from 1 species
CAAGAAGCCUCUCACCAGAUGACUCUCCUCAACCAGCUUCUAGAACGGACUGCUUGGGAGUCCGUGGACACCUGGUUAAGGAUUCCUAUGGACAGAUCAAUUAACCCAAGGGCUCCAGGAGAUGCAGAUCAAAGACCGCCACACAAGAAAGAGGCCACACAGAUAAAGAGCCCAGGACCUGCUGUCAGACCUCCCCAGAUUCAGAUUCUUAGGCCUGCCCCUUAUAGGCUGUGUGACCUCGGACAAGUUCCUUAUUUACUCUGAGCCUGAGUGUCCUCGCUCGUAAAAUGGGUCUAACAACGACCACCUCCAAGAAAGAUCACGAUGCUGAAAUGACUCAGAACAGUGCCUGGAGUGGAAGAGCUGCUGGGAAAAUAAUAACUGCUAUUUCUACAUCAGUUAUGCCAGUUCUUUUUGACCUAAGAAACUCCAGCGCUUUUAAUACAAUCAAACUGGGUUAUUGGUGACUUACAGAGGAGACCCUAGGCAGGUGUGACAUUCUUAACCCUGUCUUUAAUACAACUGCCACAUCCCAGCGUUCCUUGACAGACUGUGGAGCACACCUAAGCCACCUUGCUUGCCAUAGGGUUUGGCUCCAUGACCUUGAUGUGAGUUCAUAGAUUUGUUUGCAGUUGUGAAAAUUAAAUGAGAGAGCGAGGUGAUUCUCCUGUGUCAUGGAAACACCAUGUAAGGAAUGGUCUUAUUGC